AGGCAGUUAGUUUAAACAAAACAUUUGAUUUCGACUCAAAAAUCUGUGGUUACAUCCCACUAUUGCCCA
rnacentral:tRNA from 1 species